UGUCUUACAGGCUGUGCUCAGUUUUCUGACAGCACUUCCCGACAGAUGAAAUCCAACCUUUAUGGCUCUUAAAUAUUAAUGCCGAUGCUCAAUGUCUUUUCACUCUCCCUUCCCCCCACCCAUAAUGAGUAAACGUCUCCCCUGGUUAGUGGUCGACUUCCUCGCUUCUUCGCGACUCCAACAGCUCUUUUGACAUAGGGUUGGAAUUCAGGACUGAAGAUGUGCCCAAAUAUGAUACGAAUGAUAUUUACUUGGCAGAUGUUGAAUUUGGCUCGAUUUUUCCUCUGAAAAACAGAGAGGGAUGUCAAACAAGAGGAGAAAAGCGGAGAUACGGAUUCUGUUGGAUAAUAUGAAAAGGAAAUUAAACAACACACAAACCAGUCUCGAGAUAGAGAUUGUUUUCAGGGUGAGCUCUAUCCCGCGAGAGCACUGAUGUCUUUUUUCGUUGUGGUAAAUGCCCAUUAAAUGUAGUUUUAUGGCUAUAAGACUUAAUUAAGCUCCUAUAAACUGAUUCCGAAUGUGUAUUGAAGGUACAAACAGUUCAGGUGCAUCUGAGACUUGUUAUUCCUACUGUAAGACAGAAGACUGAUGAGGACAGCGGUAAAUGAGGGGAAAAGCGGCAAUCAGAUCCAGGUGUCCCUGA